rnacentral:rRNA from 1 species
CAGUAGCCGCGGUAAUACGAAGGGGGCUAGCGUUGCUCGGAAUCACUGGGCGUAAAGGGUGUGUAGGCGGGUCUUUAAGUCAGGGGUGAAAUCCUGGAGCUCAACUCCAGAACUGCCUUUGAUACUGAAGAUCUUGGGUUCGAGAGAGGUGAGUGGAACUGCGAGUGUAGAGGUGAAAUUCGUAGAUAUUCGCAAGAACACCAGUGGCGAAGGCGGCUCACUGGCCCGAUACUGUCGCUGAGGCACGAAAGCGUGGGGAGCAACAGGAUUAGAUACCCGCGUAGUCCCUGUCUCUUAUACA